rnacentral:rRNA from 1 species
GUGGGGAAUAUUGGACAAUGGGCGCAAGCCUGAUCCAGCAAUGCCGCGUGGGUGAAGAAGGUCUUCGGAUCGUAAAGCCCUUUCGACAGGGACGAUGAUGACGGUACCUGUAGAAGAAGCCCCGGCUAACUUCGUGCCAGCAGCCGCGGUAAUACGAAGGGGGCUAGCGUUACUCGGAAUUACUGGGCGUAAAGGGCGCGUAGGCGGCUCUGUUAGUCAGGCGUGAAAUUCCUGGGCUUAACCUGGGGACUGCGCUUGAUACUGCAGGGCUUGAGGACGAGAGAGGGUGGUGGAAUUCCCAGUGUAGAGGUGAAAUUCGUAGAUAUUGGGAAGAACACCGGUGGCGAAGGCGACCACCUGGCUCGGUUCUGACGCUGAGGCGCGACAGCGUGGGGAGCAAACAGGAUUAGAAACCCGAGUAGUCC